CUGUCCGCUCGGGGUCUGGUGAGGCCGCCGGAGCCAAUGGGAGGAGGGCGGCCCAUAUGACGUAUGCACACGCCACCGGGGGGGUGGGGCUGGUGCCCGGCACGCGCUCGAGCGCGCGCUAUUCGGGCAGGCGCCGGGGCGGGCACCGGAGCGGGCGGCCAGCGAGUCAGAUGGUCCGAUGCUGCCCUAUUGCGCUGCCGGACCUCGGUUUCUGAGAUAAUGAGGUCCACGCAGGUCCGAAGGAAAGGACCCGGAGCGCAAACCCUCCUGAGUGCUUAAAAGACCUGGGAUCGCUUGGGCUGGCUGCUAAUGGCAAGUGCUCUGCAGGUUCACAGCUCAGACCAGGGCUCCCCUAGCCAAGACGCCACCGGCUAAAACCACAGGGUGGUGAGCAGGCCUGAAAAGGCACUGUGUGUGUGUGAGACCUUAGCCCAGGAGUAGAUGGUUUGUAAAGAUCCCCCUCCCUCCAAGAAGCGGACUUUUCAAAAAUGGGGUCUAGGUCUAUGGGCCUCAGUAGGAUAUCCAGCCAUUGAACCCAUGCCAAGUCCCACACCGGAACUCUGAGGCUAAGACAGCCCAGCAGUUUACAUUUUCCCAGCGCUCUGCUGGGGGCUCUGAUGCAGGAUCUAGGUGGAGCCAAACCCAGGCUUAGU
rnacentral:lncRNA from 1 species